GCAAAAGUAUCUUGUUUGUUGGACGGCCUGGUGUUGGUAAGACCACUGUUUUGCGAGAGAUUGCUCGUGUAUUGUCUGAUGAAUUCCAGAAAAGAGUGGUGAUAAUUGAUACUAGCAAUGAAAUAGGAGGAGAUGGAGAUAUUCCACACUCAGCUAUUGG